GAGUCCAUGAUGAAUAGCUACAUGUUGGAAUUACCACCUGAUUGUUAAGUGACGACAUUUUAUCUGGCUUUCUGAGCUUAAU